UGCUCAGUCUUCUACCCCUUAUCACCACUAAUGCUCCUUUGAAAAUCUUCAAGCAUCCACUCUUAGCCUGGCUACUAAAAGCAUGACCCUACUCCUCCAAGUAACCCAAAGAGAUCUGAUUCUUCUUUAAUUCUGAUACAUGCUUGAUAUUUGAUAAAGUAUAGAUAACCCCAUCAUACAUCCUUACCCUAAUAGUGCCAACUCCAGCCACCUACAAGGGUGAUCAUC
rnacentral:lncRNA from 1 species